rnacentral:lncRNA from 1 species
UUUCUUUCAAUCCGUAGUAAAGCUGCAAUCGGAAAAAAGCGGAGCUCCCCUGAAGUGUGAUAGGAACGGAACGGAUCAAGGAAAAAAUCAAGUAAGUUCACUCCUAUAAAUUGGUUCAUCAUUCAUAUCAAAUGAUCAAACUACCUUUAUAAUUAAAUCAAUUGAGAUUUUGAAACUGAUAUGAUUAGCCUAGAUUUGUAUAAUUUAUUAUGUCUUCCUAUGUCACGAUCUAUUUUUAGUUGAUCAAUAUAAGUUUUUAUUUUUUAUUUAUUUUUUUUUAUUUUUUUUAACUUAUGGCAUUAGUGGAAGAAGUAUCCGUAUCUUCAAAUGAAGAGGAAAUCAACGAAGGAAGUAAUGAUUGUAGGAAAUAUCUUCUGCAUAAUUGCAGAAUUAAUGUGUAUAUAUUUACCUUUCGUGAUAGUUUGAUGCUAUAUUUAUUUUCCUUUCAAUGUAUAAUAAAUCAGAUCCCACUGAUUGAGUAUCAUUGCUGUCAUGCCUUAGAAUUAGCUUAGUGCACCUAUGUAAGUUUGAUAUAUAUAUGACCUACAGGUCUAUGGAAUAAUACAUAACAAACAAAAUUAUAUUCUAAAUUGUCUUGUCAUUUUCAUAUUCAAUAUUUCAUGUUCAUGCUGCUAUCUUAAGAUGGUAUCAGAGCACGAUCGGGGAACUGAAACCAACAGAAAGUUCACAUCAGAAAGAAUCAAACAACAACAACAAUGACAAACCAAAUAAAAACAACAAUUCUGAUAUGGAUUCUUCAAAUCCAUAUUACCUUCACCCUUCAGAUCAUCCUUGUCACUUGCUUGUCCCAACAAAAUUGAAUGGAAC